rnacentral:rRNA from 1 species
UGGGGAAUAUUGGACAAUGGGCGACAGCCUGAUCCAGCCAUGCCGCGUGUGUGAAGAAGGUCUUCGGAUUGUAAAGCACUUUAAGUUGGGAGGAAGGGCAUUAACCUAAUACGUUAGUGUUUUGACGUUACCGACAGAAUAAGCACCGGCUAACUCUGUGCCAGCAGCCGCGGUAAUACAGAGGGUGCAAGCGUUAAUCGGACUUACUGGGCGUAAAGCGCGCGUAGGUGGUUUGUUAAGUUGGAUGUGAAAUCCCCGGGCUCAACCUGGGAACUGCAUUCAAAACUGACUGACUAGAGUAUGGUAGAGGGUGGUGGAAUUUCCUGUGUAGCGGUGAAAUGCGUAGAUAUAGGAAGGAACACCAGUGGCGAAGGCGACCACCUGGACUAAUACUGACACUGAGGUGCGAAAGCGUGGGGAGCAAACA